AUUCAAAUAUCUGCCCUAUCAACUUUCGAUGGUAGGAUUAGAGGCCUACCAUGGUUUUGACGGGUAAACGGGGAAUAAGGGUUCGAUUCCGGAGAGGGAGCCUGAGAAACGGCUACCACAUCCACGGAAGGCAGCAGGCGCGCAAAUUGCCCAAUCCCGACACGGGGAGGUAGUGACAAUAAAUAACAAUAUAGGGCCCUUUCGGGUCCUAUAAUUGGAAUGAGUACAAUUUAAAUCCGUUAACGAGGAACAAUUGGAGGGCAAGUCUGGUGCCAGCAGCCGCGGUAAUUCCAGCUCCAAUAGCGUAUAUUAAAGUUGUUGCAGUUAAAAAGCUCGUAGUUGAACUUCAGACCUGACCGGGCGGUCCGCCUAACGGGUGUACUGUCUGGCCGGGCCUUACCUCUUGGUGAGCCGGAUGCCCUUUAUGGGGUGCGUCGGGGAAACAGGACCUUUACCUUGAGAAAAUUAGAGUGUCAAAGCAG
rnacentral:rRNA from 1 species